GCUGCAGCAGUGUGGUGGGUGGUGGUGACAGGCAUUGUGUGCCUCACAGGUCGUUGUCUUGGACACUGGAGCUGGGCAAACAGUGGUUAAAAUAUCAUGUUUGCUCCUCUGCAUGGGACAGCCACUAUCACAACUUCCUUUCUGGUGACCAUUAAUGCAUCCAGUUGGAUAAUUUGGAGGGAGACCGUUUUGUAUUCUAAACAGAACAAUUCAGAUUAUCAAGUAAUCUGCUCUUUCUACACCAAAAUGUUUGCUGUUGAUUUUACUCAGUUGUUUUGGGACCCCGUGCCCUUUGUGGGAGGAGGUCAGGCUGAUCUCAAUUUUUUGGUGAAGGCUCAAAAGCAAUGACAGCUGCAUGUCUUUAUCAUCUGUUAUUGGUUUAUCCUUGUCCUAUUUUCACUUCAGACAUGCUGAAGGCAGAGCUGUGGGAAGUCAGAGCUCCAGCAGGGAAAUGUAGAACUGUCCAUGCCAAAGCAGCCUGGUAGCUUAGAGUGGAACUUCUGCAAUAACACUUGGACAAGUGAUAAAGUCUAAAUUUAAUUUCAGGAUUCAAAUUUAUUUUUAUAAUUUCUGAAAAGCAGAGACUUCCCAUAAUUUCUAGGAUACCUUUAAUGCAUGAAGUUCCCCAGAUGCCUGAAACACUACGUGCUGUCUGCUGCUCUGGUGUGUGUGACACAGGCUCAAGAGGAAGAUGAAGAAGACAGAACUUUAAUUCAUCAUUGCCUGGAACAAUUCAACCCCUGCUUUCUAAAAUGCUGUGUUGCCUGCAACUGUGGGACUUCAGCAGCAAUCCCCUUGAGUUUCAGCUUUGAGCAGUCCAAACCAAAUAACCUGCACACCCUGAAACAUUUAACAGAGCACAUCAACGUUGCUCCUUUAUUGUUUUACGUCAUCUCCUAGAAGAGAAUGGUCACUUUUAUGAGGAUGUGAGGACAGUAUCAAAUUUUAAACAACAUAAAAUAUCUCCUUCAGAUUUGUCUCUUCCAAGUGCACUGAAGUGUUACAUGAUUUUUUGUGAAUAUUUUUAACCUGGAGACAAUUUUUACAGUUGUACUGCAGUCCAUAGAAUCAGAAACUUGCAGACUAAUAGCAUAUGGAAGAACAAUGGUAAAAGUUUUUGGGAAAAGCUGAAAUGAAAAGCCCUUCAUUUUCUUUCUGAGUAAUUUUGAAAAUAGUCUAAGGUGUCUGAAUCUUACAUAUAGCACCUUACUGUUCCUCUGCCUCCCUCAUUUACAGCCAUCAUGAAAGGACUUGUGUUGUGCUAAUGGUGAGGAUUCUUGAGAUAUAUAGCAAAAUCUCCAAGAAAGAAAUUCUAUCACUUUUAAAGUAAAAUUGCUUUGUUAAAAAGUAAUUACAAGCUGCAUAAGGUCAUGGCAGCUCAUUGUUCUCUGCUGCUGUCUGUUUGAGGAGCCAAGUCAAAGCAGCUCCAGGGUGUGCUUGGUGUGGCAGAGCCACAGGUCCCUGGCAGCUCUUGGGGAACCCAUCCAGCGGGUGUGGGAAGGAACUAAUGGCUGGAAGGAAGGAAGGAAAGUGGUCUGGAUGAUUUAACAUGCAAAGCUGGACAGAAUUAUCAGUCUUUGUACAUUAAUCUUCUCUUCCAAGGAAUCACUAAUCCACUUGAGGGAGAGACUGGUGUUUUACUUGUUCAGUUCCAUGGAAGCAAUAAAAAAAUUUUUCAGAAUUUGCAGUGUUUAGUAUUACAUUUUAUGUGGUUUGCCUACUGCAAGCCUAU